UAUUUUGUUCUGAUACAAUGUAUAUGUACAUAGAAAAAUAGGUCAGAUAAUAAACAAGACAAACAUUAUGAUAUCUUCCCCGAGUAGUGUAAGUAAAUGACUUGCUCCAAAGAUUCAAGAUGGCGCUGUUUCAGGUCGUACGAGACUGGGUGCAGCUGUGGUAUUACAGAUAUCUGCUCGUCACGGCGCUCUACAUGCUCCAGCCGUGGGAGAGACAUCUAUUCCAUAGCUGUCUUGCUGUUGUACUAGCCAUGUCAGUCUACUCCACAUCAGUGUUCUUCCCCAAGUACAUCGCCUCUAUCCUUGACUACUAUGGCUAUUAUGAUGGUGACAUUUGACAAUCAACAGACUACCUACAAUGGAGACACAUAUGGAGAGACUUUGUGCCAUUGAGAAGGGUUUAAAUACUUUGUGCUGACAGUUCCAAAGAUGAUGGACAGCCGUAAUAUGAAAGAGCAGUUCAGGGUGAACAUGUGAACAAGACAAAUCUCCAAAGGCUUUACCUGGUUGUAUUAAUGUAACUGUUGUUCAGAAAAGACCAUUUCUUUGCAACAUUAUAGAGGACCACAAAUUACUUUGCUUGAGACUCUGGUGGUGAGGGUAUGGGGAUGGCACUUCUGGACACAUUUGUUUUAUAAAAUGCAGUGACAAUUCUUAGAAGUGCCAGCUUCUACAAUGAAGUAGAGGGACAUAUAUUAAAAACUUAAAGGUGUUUGCAGUCUAGUAUGUAUACCACCUUUCAAAAUUUAACUGUCAUGUGUCAAAUAUUUGCAAGGGUGCUGCUACUUAUUGAGAAAUGUGGAGUUGGCCACUCAGGAGCUGGUGUAUGUAUUGGGGGUAAUUGGUGAUAACACUGGUGAUGGCCAGUUCUGUGCAAUUAAAUCAGCUCACAUAGAAAUAUUUACAUGACAAUACAUGUGGUAAUUCAACAUAGUUGUUUCAAGAUCUUAUUGAUGUAAGCAGUUUUAUAUGCUAUCCAAAGAAUGUUGUAAUCUUUUUCUAUAAGUCAACCUAUAUGAAAACUCUUACUCUAAGAAAAGGUUAGUUCAAUCCUGAUUUUAAUUUCUUGUGUGGCGGUGGAUACAAGAAAUGAAUGUAUGCAACUAACUUUUAUGCCAAUGUUGGUUAUACAAUGCUACUAUAUCUGCAAGUCUUCCAUACAAGAUUUUGUGUGUAGUCUGGUAUCCGUUGCUACCCUUCUGGUGCACAUCUUCAGCCACAUUGUGGCCAGUUAUGACUUGACUUGACUUAGUCCUCUUCGCUCACUCGGGAGCAUAGGGCUUCUGUGAGAAGUCUUCAGCGUUUUCGGUUCAUCACUAGUAAUACACACUUUAUUUCCUAUGUAUCUAAGCUAAUAUAUUCAUAUUCGUGUAUAGACUCUAGAUAAUGUUUUCCAGGUAAUGAAUGAUAUAUCACAAUCAAACUUGGUCCGGGAGUAUUGUGAGGGCCAUUUUAAGGUAUGAUCCUGGAAAGCUCCUUUACUGAGUGCCAUUGAGUGAUGUGUGUUUUUGUAGUCUGAGUGAAAACAUUCUUUUGGAAUAUAAGAGGACAAGAAUUUUUUUAUCUUUUUAUAACUUGCAUUUUUCCUGUCACUGAUGAUUGUCAGUAUUAAUGAUUGCCUACUGUGGUUUGAAACUAGCAGCAUUGUAGUUACAUUAAGACACAGGAAGAUUAAACUUGAUGAUAUUACUAUGGUAGAAUGCAUAAAUUAUUGUUGUAUAAAAAGUGAUAAUAUCUUCAAUAAUCAUGACAUUAAUGCAAGGAUGAGGUGUGGUAUAAUAAAUUAAUGUGCAACAGACAUUUAUGUUGCUCACAAUUGUAACAGGUCUUCUUUUACUCUAGAGAAAUACAACAUCUGAUUUCCAUGCUCA